rnacentral:rRNA from 1 species
ACGCUGACGGCGUGCUUAACUCAUGCAAGUCGAACGAUGAACCACUUCGGUGGGGAUUAGUGGCGAACGGGUGAGUAACACGUGGGCAAUCUGCCCUUCACUCUGGGACAAGCCCUGGAAACGGGGUCUAAUACCGGAUACCACUCGCACGGGCAUCUGUGCGGGUUGAAAGCUCCGGCGGUGAAGGAUGAGCCCGCGGCCUAUCAGCUUGUUGGUGAGGUAAUGGCUCACCAAGGCGACGACGGGUAGCCGGCCUGAGAGGGCGACCGGCCACACUGGGACUGAGACACGGCCCAGACUCCUACGGGAGGCAGCAGUGGGGAAUAUUGCACAAUGGGCGAAAGCCUGAUGCAGCGACGCCGCGUGAGGGAUGACGGCCUUCGGGUUGUAAACCUCUUUCAGCAGGGAAGAAGCGAAAGUGACGGUACCUGCAGAAGAAGCGCCGGCUAACUACGUGCCAGCAGCCGCGGUAAUACGUAGGGCGCAAGCGUUGUCCGGAAUUAUUGGGCGUAAAGAGCUCGUAGGCGGCUUGUCACGUCGGGUGUGAAAGCCCGGGGCUUAACCCCGGGUCUGCAUUCGAUACGGGCUAGCUAGAGUGUGGUAGGGGAGAUCGGAAUUCCUGGUGUAGCGGUGAAAUGCGCAGAUAUCAGGAGGAACACCGGUGGCGAANGCGGAUCUCUGGGCCAUUACUGACGCUGAGGAGCGAAAGCGUGGGGAGCGAACAGGAUUAAAUACCCUGGUAGUCCACGCCGUAAACGGUGGGAACUAGGUGUUGGCGACAUUCACGUCGUCGGUGCCGCAACUACGCAUNANUUCCCCCCUGGGAAACNGCGCAAGGUNAACUCAANGAAUNACGGGGNCCCNNAACANCGGANAUUGNUUAUUNACCACNNAAACUACAGGUUNNUNCCGAANCUAAAAUGNNCCCUUUGGCGGUNAGGGGCUGGUGCCACNUNCGGAAUGGUAANCCNAANCACCUNCUUUNCNUCUNGGAGGGCCAAACCGGUANGGAGGGCNAAAUNCUUUUGUCNCNAANNAAA